rnacentral:rRNA from 1 species
CCUACGGGGUGCAGCAGUCGAGAAUCAUUCACAAUGGGGGAAACCCUGAUGGUGCGACGCCGCGUGGGGGAAUGAAGGUCUUCGGAUUGUAAACCCCUGUCAUGUGGGAGCAAAUUAAAAAGAUAGUACCACAAGAGGAAGAGACGGCUAACUCUGUGCCAGCAGCCGCGGUACUACAGAGGUCUCAAGCGUUGUUCGGAAUCACUGGGCGUAAAGCGUGCGUAGGCUGUUUCGUAAGUCGUGUGUGAAAGGCGCGGGCUCAACCCGCGGACGGCACAUGAUACUGCGAGACUAGAGUAAUGGAGGGGGAACCGGAAUUCGCGGUGUAGCAGUGAAAUGCGUAGAUAUCGAGAGGAACACUCGUGGCGAAGGCGGGUUCCUGGACAUUAACUGACGCUGAGGCACGAAGGCCAGGGGAGCGAAAGGGAUUAGAUACCCGAGUAGUC